CCGGGGAUAGCGUAUGCUUCCGAUGCAGCUUUCUUUCAGAAAGCUUUUAGGCGAACGUUUCGCUUUUUCAGGU
rnacentral:tRNA from 1 species